rnacentral:lncRNA from 1 species
UGGCAUGAACGAGGCCUCCAAAGCAGGUUGGCAGUCUUGCUAAGGCGCACGGUCCCGCCGCCCCAGCAGGCAGCUGCGCGGGUGCAGGACUGUGCAGAAGGGUGCAGGGCGGUGCAAGACGCUGCAGGGCCGUGCAGGACAGUGCAGGACGGUGCAGGGCCGUGCAGGACGGUGCAGGACUGUGCAGGACCGUGCAGGACGGUGCAGGGCCGAGCAGGGAAGUGCAGGGCCGUGCAGGACGGUGUAGGGCCGUGCAGGGAGGUGCAGGGCUGUGCAGGGCGGUGUAGGGAAGUGCGGGGCCGUGCAGGACCGUGCAGCACUGAGCAGCACCCUGCAGGGCGGUGCAGGACCGAGCAGCGCUGUGCAGGACCGUGCAGGGCCGAGCAGUGCCGUGCAGCACCGAGCAGCACCGAGCAGGGCAGUGCAGGACCGUGCAGGGCGGUGCACGACCGUGCAGCAUUGAGCAGGGCCGAGCAAUGCCGUGCAGCACCGAGCAGGGCCGUGCAGGACCGUGCAGGGCGGUGCAGGACCGUGCAGCACCGUGCAGGGCCGCACAGCACCGUGCAGCACCGAGCAGGACCGUGCAGCACCAAGCAGGGCCGUGCAGCACCGAGCAGCACCGUGCAGGACCGAGCAGGGCCGCGCAGCACCGUGCAGGACCGAGCAGGACCAAGCAGGGCCUCGCAGGACAGAGCAGGACCGUGCAGCACCGAGCAGCACCGUGCAGGGCCGCGCAGGGCGGAGCAGGGCUGUGCAGGACCUUCCAGGACCGUGCAGCACCGAGCAGGGCCUCGCAGGACCGAGCAGGAUCUUCCAGGACCGUGCAGCACCGCGCAGCACCGAGCAGGACCGUGCAGCACUGAGCAGGGCCGUGCAGCACCGAGCAGGACCGCGCAGCACCGUGCAGGGCCGAGCAGGAUCUUCCAGGACCGUGCAGCACCGCGCAGCACCGCGCAGCACCGAGCAGGGCGGUGCGGGUCCGCGCCCUCCCGCCCUCCCGCCCGCCCGCACCCGCGGCCCGCGCCCCAGCCCGGCGGUGCAGCGAGCGCCCGGAGCUUUGCGCGCCCGCACGUACGUCGCCUUCACGUGCGCCGCGGCCGGUGCCUGUGCGCGGCGGGGAACAUGCGGAGGGCCGCUCGGGCCCGCGCGGCGGACGGGGCGCAGGGAAGGUGGGUGUGGGCGCGGCCGGGGCGGGGGGAGCGCGCGGCCCGCAGCCCCGGCCCGCAGCCCGCAGCCCGCAGCCCGCAGCCCGCAGCCCCGAGCCCAGCGCGGCGGCCGGGGGCGGGCGGAGGAGCGGGGGCCGGGCCCGCGAGCGGCCGCCCCGCGCGCCCCGCGCACCCCGCCAUGUGA